rnacentral:rRNA from 1 species
GAUGAACGCUGGCGGCGUGCCUAAUACAUGCAAGUCGAGCGAACAGACGAGGAGCUUGCUCCUCUGACGUUAGCGGCGGACGGGUGAGUAACACGUGGAUAACCUACCUAUAAGACUGGGAUAACUUCGGGAAACCGGAGCUAAUACCGGAUAAUAUAUUGAACCGCAUGGUUCAAUAGUGAAAGACGGUUUUGCUGUCACUUAUAGAUGGAUCCGCGCCGGAUUAGCUAGUUGGGAAGGUAACGGCUUACCAAGGCAACGAUGCGUAGCCGACCUGAGAGGGUGAUCGGCCACACUGGAACUGAGACACGGUCCAGACUCCUACGGGAGGCAGCAGUAGGGAAUCUUCCGCAAUGGGCGAAAGCCUGACGGAGCAACGCCGCGUGAGUGAUGAAGGUCUUCGGAUCGUAAAACUCUGUUAUUAGGGAAGAACAAAUGUGUAAGUAACUAUGCACGUCUUGACGGUACCUAAUCAGAAAGCCACGGCUAACUACGUG